CCUACGGGCGGCAGCAGUGAGGAAUCUUCGUCAAUGGACGAGAGUCUGAACCAGCCAAGCAGCGUGAAGGAUGACUGUCCUAUGGGUUGUAAACUUCUUUUUUAUGGGAAUAAAAUGUUCCACGUGUGGGAUUUUGUAUGUACCAUUUGAUUAAGGAACGGCUAACUCCGUGUCAGCAGCCGCGGUAAUACGGAGGAUCCGAGCGUUAUCCGGAUUUAGUGGGGUUAAAGGUAGCGUAGGUGGAUUGUUAAGUCAGUUGUGAAAGUUUGCGGCUCAAACGUAAACAUGCAGUUGAAACUGGCAGUCUUGAGUGCAGUAGAGGUGGGCGGAAUUCGUGGUGUAGCGGUGAAAUGCGUAGAUAUCACGAAGAACUCCGAUUGCGAAGGCAGUUCACUGGACUGCAACUGACACUGAGGCUCGAAAGUGUGGGUAUCAAACAGGAUUAGAUACCCGUGUAGUC
rnacentral:rRNA from 1 species